rnacentral:rRNA from 1 species
UUCUAACCGUAAACGAUGACAACCAGCGAUUAAUCGGCGUUAAUAUAUGACCCGAUUAGCAGCUUCCGGGAAACCAAAGUUUUUCGUUUCCGGGGGAAGUAUGGUUGCAAAGCUGAAACUUAAAGGAAUUGACGGAAGGGCACCACCAGGAGUGGAGCCUGCGGCUUAAUUUGACUCAACACGGGAAAACUCACCCGGCCCGGACACCGUAAGGAUUGACAGACUGAGAGCUCUUUCUUAAUUCGGUGGGUGGUGGUGCAUGGCCGUUCUUAGUUGGUGGAGCGAUUUGUCUGGUUAAUUCCGAUAACGAACGAGACUCUGGCCUAUUAAAUAGACGAUAUAUUUAAAAGUAUAUCGCGCUUCUUAGAGGGACAAGCGGCGUCUAGCCGCAUGAAAUAGAGCAAUAACAGGUCUGUGAUGCCCUUAGAUGUCCGGGGCUGCACGCGCGCUACACUGAAAGAAUCAGUGUGCGUUACGCCUAGUUCGGAAGAACCGGGUAACCCAAGUAAAUUCUUUCGUGCUUGGGAUAGGGAAUUGCAAUUAUUUCCCUUAACGAGGAAUUCCCAGUAAUGCGGGUCAUAAGCUCGCGUUGAUUA